UACGUAGGGUGCAAGCGUUGUCCGGAAUUAUUGGGCGUAAAGAGCUCGUAGGUGGCGGGUCACGUCGGGUGUGAAAGCCCGGGGCUUAACCCCGGGUCUGCAUUCGAUACGGGCUUGCUAGGGUCCGGCAGGGGAGACUGGAAUUCCUGGUGUAGCGGUGAAAUGCGUAGAGAUGUGGAGGAACACCGAUGGCGAAGGCAGCCCCCUGGGUCAAGAUUGACGCUCAUGCACGAAGGCGUGGGAGCAACAGG
rnacentral:rRNA from 1 species